GCAGAACUUCAUUUUCUCACCGUUCUGAAUCUGAAAUCAAGGGGGCUGGAACCACUGCUCUCCUGCUGAAGGCUCUGAGGACGCUCCCUGCCUCUGGUGGCAGCUGGUCAUCCUUAGCUUCAGUUGUACCACUCCCAUGGAUCACAGCCUCAGUCUUCCCUGACAAAGGCAUUGAUAGCCUGUAUAAAUUUCCUCAACUGGCUCUGCCUUAGAGGGACACUUGUGGAAUUCCAUGUCCACUAGGCUAAUCCAGGCUAAUCUCAUCUCAGUCUUAAACUAAUCACAUCUGCACAGAUCCCUUAUUGCAAACAAGGUAACAAUUGCAAAUUCCAAGGAUUGGGAUUUGAUACCUUGGGUGGCUAUGAUUGAAUCUCCCAAAAUAACCAAUUUUCCCAGCAACACUUGUUGCAAAGAUUUAUCUUGCUGGACAUAUUGGCACAUGCCUGUAACUUGGGAGGUAAGGUCAGGAAGAUCCCAAAUUCAGCAAUAAAGUGAGACCUUGUCUCAAAAAAUAAAAAGAACUUGGGGAUGUACCAAAUAUAUAAUCUUUUCCCCAUUGAACUGUCUUGGCACUUUGUUAAAACAUAAGAGUUCACUUCUGGACUCUCAAUUUUGUUCCAUUCAUGUAGACUUGCUAACCAUAGGAAGUUAUGAAUCAUAAAUCCUCCAAUUUUGUUCUUUUUAAACAUUAUUUUGGCUACUGCAGGGCCUUUUUGUUUUCUUUCUUCCUCCACAUUUCUUUCUUGCUUGCUUUGUGCAGUGCUGGGGAUUGAACCUAGAUCUCAUCCAUGCUAGGUAAGUGCUCUGGCACUGAGAGACACCUCCAGCUCUGUUGAGUCAGGUUCUCACUAUGAUGGAAUUGGAAGAUGUUCCCACCUCUUUUUCUGAAAGAAGUUUAUGAGCUAUU
rnacentral:lncRNA from 1 species